UACGUAGGGUGCAAGCGUUAAUCGGAAUUACUGGGCGUAAAGCGUGCGCAGGCGGUUUUGUAAGUCUGUUGUGAAAUCCCCGGCUCAACCUGGGAAUGGCAAUGGAGACUGCAAGGCUAGAGUUUGGCAGAGGGGGGUAGAAUUCCACGUGUAGCAGUGAAAUGCGUAGAUAUGUGGAGGAACACCGAUGGCGAAGGCAGCCCCCUGGGUCAAAACUGACGCUCAUGCACGAAAGCGUGGGGAGCAAACAGG
rnacentral:rRNA from 1 species